rnacentral:rRNA from 1 species
CGUGGGUAACCUGCCCAAGAGAUCGGGAUAACACCUGGAAACAGAUGCUAAUACCGGAUAACAACAGAUGAUGCCUAUCAACUGUUUAAAAGAUGGUUCUGCUAUCACUCUUGGAUGGACCUGCGGUGCAUUAGCUAGUUGGUAGGGUAACGGCCUACCAAGGCGAUGAUGCAUAGCCGAGUUGAGAGACUGAUCGGCCACAUUGGGACUGAGACGCGGCCCAAACUCCUACGGGAGGCAGCAGGA